rnacentral:piRNA from 1 species
GACUACCAUGAAGAAGAAUGACU